ACACUGGCUCUCUAGUUUUAAGUUAGGAUAUACAUUUAAAAUUUAAUAGCUACUCCUGAAUUACUCUGUAUCUGCAUCCUUUCAUUACAGAAGGAAAGCACACUGUGCUGUUGGAUCUUACUCCAGGUUCAUUAUGGAGUCUGCUGAAUUGAGACAUGCUGGUCUUACAAAACUCCACAUGUCGAGAUAUCUUGAAAGUUUGAGCACAGAUAAGCCCUAAGGAACUCCAAAGCUGGUGUUAAAGCAGGCUGGUUUAUCUCCACGUUUAAGGAGCUGCAGAAAGAUGUGCAGGAUGAUGGGAUAGAUGGGAAGGGGGAGGAAGGAGAACCAGAGGCUAUCUCUGUCUUAUCUCCCACAGACAGAUUUCCUGCAGCCAGUAAGGGUUCAGAGAGAGCAGCUGGCUGCCAUCUUCAGACUGAUGAAGGAAAAAAGUGACACGUUUGGAGAGAUGUCUGAAGGAGACAUGAAGGAGCAGCUCAGACUGUACGAUAUAUAACCUUGCAGCCAGGGGAGGCUGUGCCCAGAAGCCAUCUUGGCCCUUAUUAUGCAGGACACUGGAGGCUGUAGUGCUUUAAAAGUGUCUCAGUAGUUACCUUGCAGUUCCAGUUUGUUUUGCAAACACAUAUAGGCCUGUCAUAUGUAUUUCAAAAGACUUGUAAUUCCUCAGACUUGUAACCAUUUUUCUUUGUAGAGCUAUCAUGUCGUACAGAGAUUUUUACCUCUUUCUGGCUGGGUCGUAUGUCUCAGUCCUACAAAGCAGUUAAACCCACAACAUUUUUUCUGGCCAUGCUUUAUGCAAAUGAACUUUCAAGCCUAGUCUUUCUCAGUUUGAUAUCUGAAGAAAGCCAAAGAUGAAGAGUGUAAAAUGCAUUAAAAUCAUAGAAUAACUCAGGUUGAAGGGCCCUGUAGUCAAACCUCCUGCUAAAAGCAGCAUCAGUUGUGAGACCAAGCUGGAUUACUCAGGGCUUUAUCCUGUUGGGUCUGGAAAAGCUCCAGAGAUGGAGACUGCACAACCUCUCUUGGCAGGGAGGCUUCCAACCCUACAGGUAGAAAACAAACAGCCAAAGGCAUCAGUGCUCUGAUCCGGGGCGUGCUGCCUCUCAUCUCCCUGGAAGGAACACUUCAUCCUCCUUCAUGCUGGCUUUGUGAAACCAAUCCAAGUCGGUUCCGGCUGACCUCGUUGAGCUCAUCCUCACGCCUGAGGAAGCAGCAGCAAACCACAACCUGGAAACACAAACGUCUCCUCGCCUCCUGACACGGGUGAAAGGAGCGCAGAAAGGCUGCUGGGUUUAUUACAAAGAUGGUUGUGUCCACCUCAGAUCCUGCUCUUCUCAUACAAAAUUAUGUGGGAAGCUACAUACUUAGGAAAUCUCUGUGGAUUUAUCAAGUGUUUUGAACAGUCUUGACCAGCCUUUGGUGGUUUGGAUAGAGUAAAUCAAUGAGCAUUCCUAAUUAUAACUAAAUGUCUUCUGGUGUGCUUAUCUCUCCUAUGAAAUCCUGUUAAAUACUUUCUUAUCAGGAAGGAUUUUCUUGGCUUUAAUAACUGCUCACAAAGGGAGGCAACAUUUUCUGACCCAGUUGUAGGGAAUGAUCACCUAAAAAAUUAGGUUUGCUUUAUUUUGUGUAAUCCUCUUCAGUCCGAGAAACCUAAUAUCUCAUUAUCUGGUUGCUGUCUCCCACUACAGUGUGUUUUAUAACAACAGACACUUAGACUUCUAAGAAUCAUUUUAUCUUCUAAUUGUUUUCACUUAGAUCAAGGCAUAUUUAUAACAAGAUCAAGCAGGUUUUACUACCAAUCAUGGCUUAAUAUAAAUUUAAUGUCUCAAAAUUACCUCUUCUUAUUCAACAGGAAUGAAUGAAGUGGGAAAAGGAGUCCCAUGAUGUGGAACAUCAUGCUAGCUAGCUGUGUCCCUAGGACACAGUUUCCUUUGUCAAGCUGUGCAAAAGGAGUAAUGUAGAAAAUUUGUCUAUGGGGCUUGUCCCUAGCUCAAAACUGAAAUCGGGAUCUUUUCCAAAACUCUUCAUGAAAGCAAGCAAAGGAGAGAUUUAGUUGAUUUUUAGUCUUUGUCUUGCAGACUUUACAAUUUAUUUCCAAAAUAUUUUUAUAUUUCUUGUUGGGUCUUCUCUGAAUAGGAACAUUUCUGGGGAAGAAAAAAAAUUUCUUCAAACCCUUCAGCUUCAGAAUAUGCCAGCAAUGAUAAUGCUGCACAAAGGAGAGCAGCUGGAAUUAAACCUGUCCUGUCCAUAGCAGCUCCGAGCACCAUCACCAAAAUGUUCAGAUGCUGCUGAUGACAGAACAGCAGUAAAAAACCUGUUAUUUACUAGGCUCAAACUUAAGAAAGAAAUGAAGAUAAAUAAAAAAGGCUCUGCCCAAGACAUGAAACGAAGGGGUGUCAAGAUGUAAAACCCAUGGGUUUUGAGCAGGGCAUUCCUCCGUAUGCAUUGGCAAGGUUGUAAUGAAGAGGAUCCUGCUGGACACAUCUGAGUGAAUCUGGGGAGGUGGUGGGGAGGGACCUGCAGCCACGGGCGAUGUCCUGACUUAACUGGGCAGCUUCUGAGGCUCUUUUGCUGCUGGACUCAUCAAUAUUUAUACAGGAAAUUUCACCAGUUGCUAUGGCAGGAUCUCCCCUUUAUACAGGAAAUUUCACCGGCUGCUGCAGCAGCAUCUCCCCUU
rnacentral:lncRNA from 13 species